rnacentral:rRNA from 1 species
UGGCUGAGGAUGAACGCUGGCGGCGUGCUUAACACAUGCAAGUCGAACGAUGAUCCCAGCUUGCUGGGGGAUUAGUGGCGAACGGGUGAGUAACACGUGAGUAACCUGCCCUUGACUCUGGGAUAAGCCUGGGAAACUGGGUCUAAUACCGGAUACGACCAUCUGGCGCAUGUCAUGGUGGUGGAAAGCUUUUGUGGUUUUGGAUGGACUCGCGGCCUAUCAGCUUGUUGGUGGGGUAAUGGCCUACCAAGGCGACGACGGGUAGCCGGCCUGAGAGGGUGACCGGCCACACUGGGACUGAGACACGGCCCAGACUCCUACGGGAGGCAGCAGUGGGGAAUAUUGCACAAUGGGCGCAAGCCUGAUGCAGCGACGCCGCGUGAGGGAUGACGGCCUUCGGGUUGUAAACCUCUUUCAGUAGGGAAGAAGCGAAAGUGACGGUACCUGCAGAAGAAGCGCCGGCUAACUACGUGCCAGCAGCCGCGGUAAUACGUAGGGCGCAAGCGUUAUCCGGAAUUAUUGGGCGUAAAGAGCUCGUAGGCGGUUUGUCGCGUCUGCUGUGAAAGACCGGGGCUCAACUCCGGUUCUGCAGUGGGUACGGGCAGACUAGAGUGCAGUAGGGG